GUAAUGUAUGGGGAGUCUGCCCGAUAGAGGGGGAGUAACUACUGGAAACGGUGGCUAAUACCGCAUAAUGUCUACGGACCAAAAGCAGGGGCUCUUCGGACCUUGCACUAUCGGAUGAACCCAUAUGGGAUUAGCUAGUAGGUGGGGUAAAGGCUCACCUAGGCGACGAUCUCUAGCUGGUCUGAGAGGAUGAUCAGCCACACUGGGACUGAGACACGGCCCAGACUCCUACGGGAGGCAGCAUG
rnacentral:rRNA from 1 species